GUGGGGAAUUUUGGACAAUGGGCGCAAGCCUGAUCCAGCAAUGCCGCGUGCAGGAAGAAGGCCUUCGGGUUGUAAACUGCUUUUGUACGGAACGAAACGGUCCGGGUUAAUACCCUGGGCUAAUGACGGUACCGUAAGAAUAAGCACCGGCUAACUACGUGCCAGCAGCCGCGGUAAUACGUAGGGUGCAAGCGUUAAUCGGAAUUACUGGGCGUAAAGCGUGCGCAGGCGGUUUUGUAAGACAGGCGUGAAAUCCCCGGGCUCAACCUGGGAAUUGGGCUUGGGACUGCAAGGCUGGAGUGCGGCAGGGGGGGAUGGAAUUCCGCGUGUAGCAGUGAAAUGCGUAGAUAUGCGGAGGAACACCGAUGGCGAAGGCAAUCCCCUGGGCCUGCACUGACGCUCAUGCACGAAAGCGUGGGGAGCAAACAGGAUUAGAAACCCCUGUAGUCC
rnacentral:rRNA from 1 species